rnacentral:rRNA from 1 species
UACGUAGGGAGCGAGCGUUGUCCGGAUUCAUUGGGCGUAAAGAGCUCGUAGGCGGCUUGAUAAGUCGGAUGUGAAACCUCCAGGCUCAACCUGGAGUCGCCAUCCGAUACUGUCAUGGCUAGAGUCCGGUAGGGGCCCACGGAAUUCCUGGUGUAGCGGUGAAAUGCGCAUAUAUCAGGAGGAACACCGGUGGCGAAGGCGGUGGGCUGGGCCGGCACUGACGCUGAGGAGCGAAAGCGUGGGGAGCGAACAGG